CACGUAGGGCGCAAGCGUUGUCCGGAAUUAUUGGGCGUAAAGAGCUCGUAGGCGGUCUGUUGCGUCCGCUGUGAAAACUCGGGGCUUAACCCCGAGCCUGCAGUGGAUACGGGCAGACUAGAGGUAGGUAGGGGAGAAUGGAAUUCCCGGUGUAGCGGUGAAAUGCGCAGAUAUCAGGAGGAACACCGGUGGCGAAGGCGGUUCUCUGGGCCGAUACUGACGCUGAGGAGCGAAAGCGUGGGGAGCGAACAGG
rnacentral:rRNA from 1 species